AGAAUUGCUCUCUGGGCAGAGGGCUGCGGAGCAGGAGCGAGGCUGCAGGUGUGAGAAGGACCCCGCCGUGCCAGGGCAGCCUCAAGGAGCUGUUGAGCGAGUUGAGCCCAGAAGACAAAGGUCGCUGAAGUCCUUCCAGGAGAAGAAGAUCAAUGCCUGGGCUGAGCCUGCGGUUAACAUCUUAAUAGUAACCGGAGAGUUUCUGAGAGAUUAGGUGAUGAUAUAUACUCAGAGCUCAGACAGUUAAUUUGCAUUGUGUCCUAUAUUCCUGAAAAGUUGCUUUCAGAUUCUUAUUGAUGUGCUCACAUUUUUUGGGGUAAUUGUCCUCCUUUGACAUUAAUAACCCCCCUGUUUACUCUCAGGCUCACAUACCUCUCAGAGUCCAGGAGGCAGUGAGGGAAAGCUUUUAAUUCAAAGCCCUAUCCAUCUUCCCAACUCAGGUGAGAUGGGGACUAGAAAGUCGGUCUGGCUGAAGCUAAGUGAGGCCAGCCUUCUGGGUGUUGGGUAUCAGGUUCUGGACGGGGCUGGCAGUUGUGUGUGGGGCUCAUGGAUGGUUUUAGGCCCUUCUGCCCCCUUUGUCAGUGUGCCCUUGUGGGAAGCCGGUGCGUUUCCAGGGGAGCUGCUGGAGGCUUCUUAUGGCAUGCAGAUCAAGGAAGACCUGUAGACUACAUGCACCCUGGCGCUCUGGGAACGGGGAGCCAUGGAACGUGCGUGAAGCGGUGUGUAAAACUGGAGAGAAAAACCCUAAGGAGACCUCAUCGGACGUUCCUGUGAUAAUCUAGGCCUCAGGACAGGCAGACUGGGAUGCUUGUGUUACCCCUAACUUUAGAUUACUCUCCCACUGCUCCCCUCCUUCACUGUAGAUUCCCACAAUUUCAGUAUCAAUGUAAUUACAAUUUAGGGGCUUAGAAACUCCUGUAUUUAUUGAGAACCCACUUAAUUUACAUAUAUUGAGUUUCAAUAUUGCACAACUCUGUGUGGAGGGGUUAGGGUGGAGGAGACCUGAGAUGACAGAAGGCCAUGUUCUCUAGGGAUGGUCUGCAGCCCUCAGUGCUGUCUCUUUUCCCUCCAGCGCCCCCUCUGUGCCCCCCUCCAAUCCCUGCUCCCCCCAGUCUCUAUAGCUGAAGGCUAGGACGAACUGUGGGGUUGUGAAUAUUUACGCAGGCAGGCAUAGGACUCAGUGACGCAGCUGAGAGCCACGCAAGUGUUUGGUGACUCAUCAGACCUUCUCCAAAGACUUGUGAUAUUUUUCUCCUCUGAAGGGCCGAAAGCAAUUUGCAGUUAAUGAUAGUAUAUGACGCCAGAAGAGUACGCAGACCUUCCGGCUCAUCUUUUCUGUGCCUUGGGUGUUUUGUUUUUGAAAAAACCUAUGUGAAUUAUUUUCCCUUUAGUAAUGUUUAUUUUAUUCUGAUUAUUAAAAUAAUGUAUGCUCAUUGUAGAAAAUACAUAAAUGCAUUAAAUAGGAAAUAAAAUGCAUGAAUUAUUUUUCCA